AUUGAACGCUGGCGGCAUGCUUUACACAUGCAAGUCGGAGGCAGUGGCGAACGGGUGAGUAACGCGUAGGUAACUGCCUGGUAGCGGGGGAUAACUAUUGGAAACGAUAGCUACUACCGCAUACUACCAGAUGGACCUGCGUUGUAUUAGCUAGUUGGUGGGGUAACGGCUCCCCAAGGCAACGAUACAUAGACGACCUGAGAGAGGUAUCGGCCACACGUGGACGGAGACACGGCCCAGACUCCUACGGGAGGCAGCAGUAGGGAAUCUGCGGCAAUGGACGGAAGUCUUACCGAGCAACGCCGCGUGAGGGAAGAAGGUUUUCGGAUCGUAAAACUCUGUUGUUAGAGAAUCGGUAUCUAACCAGAAAGCCACGGCUAACUACGUGCCAGCAGCCGCGGUAAUAC
rnacentral:rRNA from 1 species